AAUAAAAUAUAGAGCUUAAAUGAGAGAGAUACCAGACUCCAGUGUCUCUUCUUCUAGUCGUCUCUAUUUCUUCUUUCCUGUACUCUCUACAAUGUCCAUGGAAGAAGAAUUCAAAGAUUUUCAAGGAACAGAAGAAAAUGAAAUCCUGGAGAGUGAGUGGAAGAGGUUGGAUCGAGUUUCUCAAAAAUGAUCCGUUGAUUGGAUGCCCCACCCGGUUCUUUUUGUUCUUUCUUGUAUUGUUCUUUUUCUCAUGUUUUCUUGUGGAGUUAACCCAUUCUUUUUUCCUUUCUUGUCUUCUUUUUGGUUUUUCUGGUCUCGUUUCUUGAAAUCUUCGAGAGGUUUGGGUCGAGUUUCAAAAAAAUGAUCCAUUGCAUGCGCAACCCUUGCGGUUUUCAGGACUUCUUUUCUUUAAGUUGUGCGUGAAGAUUCCACCCUCACUUCUUGGAGUUUAGAGAGAUUGUUGUAGUGCUCAUUUUGGUUGGAUCUUCAAGCAUUCUGGAGAGUGAGGCUACUGCUCGAAGCUAAUGGGAACUCAUGUUGUGAUACCUUGACUUUGAUCGGUGACUCGGGUCCAUUUUUGGAGCCAUAGUAACCUUUGUUUUCCUACUAUUAUCUAUAUUACCAAUCAGGCUGCCAUUAAAUUGAAGUUGAAGAUGCCUCAACACAAGAGGAGAAUUUUUCAUCCUGUGAGACAGUUGCAGCUAUCUAAUGUAAAGAUACUUGGUUGUAUAUUAGAAUACUUUGUGCAAGGGAGCUUUGUAUACUUUGUUGUAAAUUAUCCAAAGAAAUGAAAAUUUUCUUCCAAGAGAAAUAAAUAUUGUUGCCUGA